ensembl:lncRNA
GGGGAGAGAGAGGGAGGAGGGAGAAGGAAGGGAGGGAGGGAAAGGAGGAGAUGGGGGAGGAAGGAGGGGAGAGAGGGAGGGAAGAGGGAGGAGGAGAGGAAGGGAGGGAGGAGGAUGAGGAAGGGAGAAAGGAGGAGAGGGCGAAGGAGGAAGGGAGAAAGGGAGGGAGGAGGAGAGAAAGGGAGAAAGAAGGGGAGGGAGGGAGGAGGAGAGGGAGGGAGGGGGGAGGGAGAGGAGAGGAAGGAAGGAGAGAGGAGGAAGGAGAGGGAUGAGAGAGAGGGAGAAGGAGAGGGAGGGAGGAGGAGAGAAAUGGAGAAAGAAGGAGAGGGAGGGAGGGGAGAGGGAGGGAGGGAGGAGGAUAGAGAGAGAGAGGAGAGGGAGGGAGGGAGGAGGAUAGAGAGAGAGAGGAGAGGGAGGAGGAAGAGAGGAGGUAGGGGGAAGGGAGUAGAGAGAGGGAGGGAUCAGAGGGAGGAGGAGAGAGAGGGAGGGAGGAGGAAGGGAGGAGGAUAGAGGAGAGGGAGGAGGAAGAGAGGAGAGGGAGGGGGUAGGGAGGAGAGAGGGAGGGAGGGAUCAGAGGAAGGGAGGAGAGGGAGGGAGGGAGGAGGAUAGAGAGAGAGAGGAGAGGGAGGAGGAAGAGAGGAGGUAGGGGGAAGGGAGUAGAGAGAGGGAGGGAUCGGAGGGAGGGGAGAGAGGAGGAGAGGGAGGGAGGGAUAGAGAGAGAGAGGAGAGGGAGGAGGAAGAGAGGAGGUAGGGGGAAGGGAGUAGAGAGAGGGAGGGAUCAGAGGGAGGAGGAGAGAGAGGGAGGGAGGAGGAAGGGAGGAGGAUAGAGAGAGAGAGGAGAGGGAGGAGGAAGAGAGGAGAGGGAGGGGGUAGGGAGGAGAGAGAGGGAGGGAUCAGAGGAAGGGAGGAGAGGAGGAGAGAGAGGGAGGGAUUUAGGAGGAGGGGAGAGGGAUGUGGGAGGAGGGGAUGAGGGGAAGGAGGGAGGAGGUCCAGGGCAGAGUCUCUCUCCCUCUCCUCAUGCUUCCACACACUGAGGCCUCCUUGGGACGGAUGGCAACAACCUCUUCAUAGGGCAGCAGUAGAACCU